AGAAUCUAAAUAAAUGAAAGCUUACUAGGCAUCGUGGGAAAGGAUGAACGGACCGGGUAUGUAGAGAAUCUUACCGUGGAUAUUAUCUUAGUCGGACGAGAUUGAGAAGUCCCAUACCAGAUGAAUUUUAGGAGAUAUAGUUCACUCUCAUAUCGAACGGGGUAUCGAGACAAUAGUAUUUUUGGCGCUCUUUACCAGACGGGGUAUGUGAAUGAUCGAGUUAAUUGUCAAAUCAUGAUACUAGGUUCACGAGUAGAGGGAUAUCCCUAUGGACU
rnacentral:lncRNA from 1 species